GGUGAACGCUGGCGGCGUGCUUAAGACAUGCAAGUCGAACGCAGUCUUCGGACUGAGUGGCGCACGGGUGAGUAACACGUAACUGACCUACCCCCAAGUCGCGGAUAACUGGCCGAAAGGUCAGCUAAUACGUGAUGUGAUGUCCCCUUUCUGGGGGGCCAUUAAAGGUUUACUGCUUGGGGAUGGGGUUUCGUUCCAUCAGCUAGUUGGGGGGGUAAAGGCCCACCAAGGCAACGACGUAUAGCCGGCCUGAGAGGGUGGCCGGCCACAGGGGCACUGAGACAAGGGUCCCACUCCUACGGGAGGCAGCAGUUAGGAACCUGCCACAAUGGGCGAAAGCCUGAUGGAGCGACGCCGCGUGAGGGAUGAAGGUUCGCGGAUCGUAAACCUCUGAAUCAGGGACGAAAGACGCGUAAGCGGGAUGACGGUACCUGAGUAAUAGCGCCGGCUAACUCCGUGCCAGCAGCCGCCGUAA
rnacentral:rRNA from 1 species